AUUGAACGCUGGCGGCAUGCUUUACACAUGCAAGUCGAACGGGGUGGGGGGCAACUCCCACUCAGUGGCGAACGGGUGAGUAAUGCAUCGGAACGUAUCCCGUAGUGGGGGACAACGCCGCGAAAGCGGCGCUAAUACCGCAUAUGCUCUACGGAGGAAAGUGGGGGACCGCAAGGCCUCACGCUAUGGGAGCGGCCGAUGUCCGAUUAGCUAGUUGGUGGGGUAAUGGCCCACCAAGGCGACGAUCGGUAGCUGGUCUGAGAGGAUGAUCAGCCACACUGGGACUGAGACACGGCCCAGACUCCUACGGGAGGCAGCAGUGGGGAAUUUUGGACAAUGGGGGCAACCCUGAUCCAGCCAUGCCGCGUGCGGGAAGAAGGCCUUCGGGCUGUAAACCGCUUUUAGUCGGGAAGAAGAGGCCAGGUCUAAUACACCUGGUUCUUGACGGUACCGGCGGAAUAAGCACCGGCUAACUACGUGCCAGCAGCCGCGGUAAUACGUAGGGUGCGAGCGUUAAUCGGAAUUACUGGGCGUAAAGCGUGCGCAGGCGGUUCGUCAAGUCUGAUGUGAAAGCCCCGGGCUCAACCUGGGAAUGGCAUUGGAAACUGGCGAGCUGGAGUGCGGCAGAGGGGGGUGGAAUUCCGCGUGUAGCAGUGAAAUGCGUAGAGAUGCGGAGGAACACCGAUGGCGAAGGCAGCCCCCUGGGCCGACACUGACGCUCAGGC
rnacentral:rRNA from 1 species